rnacentral:lncRNA from 1 species
GUAAUUUUCUAGAUGAGUCAUUCUCCCAUAUUUACAUAUUGAAAUAUACAUUAUCAAAAAUUAAGGUAAGUUAAUUGUGUUUAUUCCUCUUUUUAGUUCUGUAUUAGGGCACAUUGCUGUUUUUUUAAAUUAUGGGUGAAAUCUCAUUUCAGGAUAGUAAAGUAAAUAUUACAAAACAUGUGUUCUUAAAAUAUUUCAGGUAAUAAGUCUGGCAGGACUGAGAACUAGGAAUCUGGAUGAUCUCUGAAUCUAAAUAACAAGGAAAGAAGGGUUACCUCUGGACCACAGCAGCCACAUCCACAAAGGUGUAAACCCAAAGGGCAUAUCACAGGAUUUGUUUUUCCCAAUGAAAUGAUGUCUGGAAGGCUUGAACUGAAAUGCUCUUUCAUGAUGGCUGCUGAAGAAAGGCAAGCAAAGCCAUGCUCUUCCAGGGGCUGGAAAGCCAAGCCCUGUCAGGGAGACCCUGCAGUAGUGCUCUGUGGCUACACCAGAAGAAAGAUGUGCAGGGAGCUCUUCCUGUCCCAUGGCAAGGGGAGGACAACUUCUCCUUCCAGUAGCAGAGAGAUGGAACUCUUCUCAUCUCCUCUUGUUGGGGGAAUGGCUCAAAGUUGA